GAUGAACGCUGGCGGCGUGCUUAACACAUGCAAGUCGAACGAUUGAAGCUGGAGCUUGCUCCGGCCGAUUUAGUGGCGGACGGGUGAGUAACGCGUGGGUAACCUGCCUCAUACAGGGGGAUAGCAGUUGGAAACGACUGGUAAAACCGCAUAAGCGCACGGUGUCGCAUGACACAGUGUGAAAACACUCCGGUGGUAUGAGAUGGACCCGCGUCUGAUUAGCUAGUUGGCGAGGUAACGGCCCACCAAGGCAACGAUCAGUAGCCGGCCUGAGAGGGUGAACGGCCACAUUGGGACUGAGACACGGCCCAAACUCCUACGGGAGGCAGCAGUGGGGAAUAUUGCACAAUGGGGGAAACCCUGAUGCAGCGACGCCGCGUGAGUGAUGAAGUAUUUCGGUAUGUAAAGCUCUAUCAGCAGGGAAGAUAACGACGG
rnacentral:rRNA from 1 species